rnacentral:rRNA from 1 species
GUGCCAGCAGCCGCGGUAAUACCGGCAGCUCGAGUGAUGUCCAAUAUUAUUGGGCCUAAAGCGUCCGUAGCUGGCCGCGCAAGUCCGUCGGGAAAUCCACGCGCUCAACGCGUGGGCGUCCAGCGGAAACUGCCUGGCUUGGGGCCGGAGGACUCGAGGGGUACGUCCGGGGUAGGAGUGAAAUCCCGUAAUCCUGGACGGACCACCGGUGGCGAAAGCGCCUCGAGAGGACGGACCCGACAGUGAGGGACGAAAGCCAGGGUCUCGAACCGGAUUAGAUACCCUGGUAGUCC